rnacentral:lncRNA from 1 species
ACCCUGAGAAAACACGCAGGAGAUAUUGGCAAUAACCCUAACCCUUCCAUAUAAAUUGCAAAAUCUCAAUGCGGGCUAAUCUCUUUCAUACAAUUGCUGAUUGGAUUUGAAUCUCAUCUUCGUUCUUAACUUCAGGUCGCACAAUCAAUAACUUUUGUUUUCCUUUUUAUCUGAGUUUAGUUUUCGGUUUUCGACCAACACUCACCGCCCCGUCGGGGAUCCCAGCAUUUAUUUGAAUACUCGAUCAGUGGGAAAAAGGCAAAUCCGUUAUAUUCAGUCAGCUCACUCCGAUAAUCAAAAGCCUCUGGAUGUUCAAUCGCUACACCAUGCCCUACAGGGAGGAAAUAAAGGGUGUCUUGUGUGCAAGAAAAAGAUGGCAACUUCUCCCAAAACACUUUCUGGAUUCUGCCCUGCCCCAUUUACAAAUCUUUUGGAAUAUGUUGUUAAUUUGAAGUUUGAUGAGUGUAUGCAAAAAUUUCCAUUUGAUCGGCUGAAAGUUCUAAUCGUGUGACGAGGAGCCUAAUCAUUUAGGUUUCGUCGAAUGCUGAAUGAUCACAUAUUCUUUGGUACCCACAAAGUUUAUUACCUCCUAAAGUCAUAAUUGCAUUAACUUUAUCUUCAAAAGGGGAAGGUCAAACUGAUUUCUUGACCAAACGUCAACUGGCAUGGAAGACUUCAUUUUGUAGCCUUAAUUUCAUGUUAAAGAAGAACAUUUGUUACUUAUUUUAUGGUUCAUGAAGAGAACUCACAUCCUGUUUGUUUGAAGCCGUGAAAAUGAAGUCAUUUAAUGGAAGGACCACCCGAUUAGCAUGGAGCAGCUAGAGUUAUUUUCCGGGUCAACACUCAACCCAUUAAAAGAGAAGUCUCAGCUUAUGUUGGGUUAGAGGGGAAGGAAGUUAUGAGCAACAGUUAUCUCUAUUUUCCAGUUUACUAUUUAGACUAGACUAUCGUUGUUUUGUUCUUUGUCUUUGAAAAACUCAGUAUUUGUUUAUUGUAUUUGGAGAUUAGCUCAUCUCAAAUAGGCCGAUUAUCAGUUGUUUUA